CCUACGGGAGGCAGUAGUGAGGACUAUUGGUCAAUGGGAGGAAGCCUGAACCAGCCAUGCCGCGUGCAGGACGACGGCUCUACGAGUUGUAAACUGCUUUUGUACCGGGGUAAAAUGCUCUACGAGUAGGGUUUUGACAGUACGGUACGAAUAAGGAUCGGCUAACUCCUUGCCAGCAGCCGCGGUAAUACGGAGGAUCCGAGCGUUAUCCGGAUUCAUUGGGUUUAAAGGGGGCGUAGGUUGUUUUAUAAGUUAGCGGUGAAAUACCGAUGCUCAACAUCGGGGCUGCCGCUAAUACUGUAGGCCUAGAGAUCGGAUGCAGCAGGCGGAAUGUGUAGUGUAGCGGUGAAAUGCAUAGAUAUUACACAGAACACCGAUUGCGAAGGCAGCUUGCUAGGCCGGAUCUGACACUGAUGCACGAAAGCGUGGGGAUCGAACAGGAUUAGAUACCCUUGUAGUC
rnacentral:rRNA from 1 species